UACGUAGGGAGCAAGCGUUAUCCGGAUUUAUUGGGUGUAAAGGGUGCGUAGAUGGAUAAACAAGUUGUUUGUGAAAUACCUCGGCUCAACUGAGGAACUGCAAGCAAAACUGUAUAUCUUGAGUACUGGAGGGGAAAGCGGAAUUCCUAGUGUAGCGGUGAAAUGCGUAGAUAUUAGGAAGAACACCGGUGGCGAAGGCGGCUUUCUGGACAGAAACUGACAUUGAGGCACGAAAGUGUGGGGAGCAAACAGG
rnacentral:rRNA from 1 species